UUUUUUAGUUAUCUAAGACAGUUGUGGUUGCUGCGAGUUUAAUGAGAAUAAGGAGGUAAAAGAGCACUUGUGUCGUUCCAAGAAGCAGCCGGCACCCAGGUAACAAUGUUCAAAAAUAAUAAAUUUAGAAUAAUUUGAAAUAUAUCAUUUUCCGGUUCAAAUCGUUGAAACUUUCUAGAUCAUUUUUGUUCUGUCAUUGGAAACCUUCGCACCAUAAAACGGGUAAAACAACAUGCUUAUUGAGCUCAUCAACCAAUUUUUCUUGGGUUUUUAACAAGCUGAAUGCUAUAACAAGAAUUCAAAAUUUAAAAACAAAUGGAAUUUUUCUUUAAACAACCUGUCAAGUUGGCCUAUUUUUAUUUUUAUUUUGAUUAUAUAAUACAUAUAG